GAACGAUGAAGCCCUUCGGGGUGGAUUAGUGGCGAACGGGUGAGUAACACGUGGGCAAUCUGCCCUUCACUCUGGGACAAGCCCUGGAAACGGGGUCUAAUACCGGAUAUCACUCUCGCAGGCAUCUGUGAGGGUCGAAAGCUCCGGCGGUGAAGGAUGAGCCCGCGGCCUAUCAGCUUGUUGGUGAGGUAACGGCUCACCAAGGCGACGACGGGUAGCCGGCCUGAGAGGGCGACCGGCCACACUGGGACUGAGACACGGCCCAGACUCCUACGGGAGGCAGCAGUGGGGAAUAUUGCACAAUGGGCGAAAGCCUGAUGCAGCGACGCCGCGUGAGGGAUGACGGCCUUCGGGUUGUAAACCUCUUUCAGCAGGGAAGAAGCGAAAGUGACGGUACCUGCAGAAGAAGCGCCGGCUAACUACGUGCCAGCAGCCGCGGUAAUACGUAGGGCGCAAGCGUUGUCCGGAAUUAUUGGGCGUAAAGAGCUCGU
rnacentral:rRNA from 1 species